rnacentral:rRNA from 1 species
ACUCAAAUGAAUUGACGGGGGCCCGCACAAGCGGAGGAGCAUGUGGUUUAAUUCGAUGAUACGCGCGGAACCUUACCAGGGCUUGAAAGUUAGUGAAUGAUUUAGAAACAGGUCAGUCAGCAAUGACACGAAACUAGGUGCUGCAUGGCCGUCGUCAGCUCGUGCCGUGAGGUGUUGGGUUAAGUCCCGCAACGAGCGCAACCCCUAUCAUUAGUUGCCAUCAGGUUAUGCUGGGGACUCUAAUGAGACUGCCCGCGCAAGCGGUGAGGAAGGCGGGGAUGACGUCAGGUCAUCACGGCCCUUACGUCCUGGGCUACACACGUGCUACAAUGGCCGACACAACAGGCAGCUACUUGGCAACAAGAUGCUAAUCCCCAAAGUCGGUCUCAGUUCGGAUCGAGGUCUGCAACCCGACCUCGUGAAGCUGGAUUCGCUAGUAAUCGCAGAUCAGCCAUGCUGCGGUGAAUACGUUCCCGGGCCUUGCACACACCGCCCGU